ACCCAAUAGAUACCCUGGUAGUCCACGCUGUAAACGAUGAAUACUAGGUGUCGGAUCGAAAGGUUCGGUACCGAAAGCUAAACGCAUUAAAGUAUUCCACCUGGGGAGUACGAUCGCAAGGUUGAAACUCAAAGGAAUUGACGGGGGCCCGCACAAGCAGUGGAGCAUGUGGUUUAAUUCGAUGCAACGCGAAGAACCUUACCUAGGCUUGAAAUGCAAUAGACCGGGUAUGAAAGUACCUUUCCCUUCGGGGCUGUUGUACAGGUGCUGCAUGGCUGUCGUCAGCUCGUGCCGUGAGGUGUUGGUUAAGUCCCGCAACGAGCGCAACCCCUACCAUUAGUUGCCAUCAGGUAAUGCUGAGCACUCUAAUGGGACUGCCUACGCAAGUAGUGAGGAAGGUGGGGAUGACGUCAAGUCCGCAUGGCCCUUACGCUUAGGGCUACACACGUGCUACAAUGGAUACAACAACGGGCAGCGAAA
rnacentral:rRNA from 1 species